rnacentral:rRNA from 1 species
AACGAACGCUGGCGGCAUGCCUAACACAUGCAAGUCGAACGAGACCUUCGUGCCUAUGUGCGCACGGGGGCUGAACGCGGGGGAACCUACCCUUAGGUUCCGUAUACCUCCCCGAAAGGGGUCCUAAUACCGGAUAAUGUCUUCCGGCCAACGAGUUAUGGCCAUUGGCUGGGCGUGCGUUGGAUUAGUGAGUUGGUAGUGGAAAAGCAUACCAAGGGCAGGAUGCAUAGCUGGUCUGGGAGGAUGAUCAGCCACGCUGGGGAUGCGACACGGCCCAGAAUCCGACGCGAGGGAGGAGAGGGGAAUAUAGGAGGAUGGGGGAAAGUCUGAUAAAGCAAUGCGGGGUGAGUGAUGAAGGCGUUAGGGUUGUAAAGCUCUUUUACCCGAGACGAUAAUGACGGUACCGGGAGAAUAAGCUCCGGCUAACUACGUG